rnacentral:lncRNA from 1 species
GAAGAGGUCAUAUUAGGCCCUUAGCUUUAGAAAAGAAAGCAUAUGUGACAGAAAACAGUGAAAGAUUCCAUUUACUAAAUAUAGCCUUGCCAAUUAGAAAUGUUCUUCUGUCUUAGGAUAAACGCCAGGUAUCUCUCCCCUUGAGAAGUCUCCUAUUCUUCCUCUACUCCCUAAUCCAGACCACGCCUGCCCUAUAGAAAGGAGAAGGGGAACAGCCCCCAGAGCAUUUCAUUACCAUGACCCUACAGUUGCCAGUGCCCACUCACCAAUUUCUUAUUGAUGGGAUAAGUUUGGAAAGACUCAGGAGCACCAAAAGAAUGCAUAUAACAGACUUAGCGAAGUUAAAACAAUGAAAGAUGUUGCUGUGGUCUGAAUUAACUAAGAAUUAGUUAGAGAAAGAACUAGUUCUUAAAGAAUGGUGAGGAUUUUUAUGGAGCAAGAGGAAAGUAUGGGAGCUGUCCAGUACGGAAGGAGUCAUUUAUGAACAAAAACACAGGAGAAAGGGUGUACGAGGGUGUGCUGGGCAUCCUACAGAGAACAGAAGGGGAAGGAAGGUUCCUUCAGGAAAGACACUGGGAGAUGGGUGUGAAGAAAGCAGGCUAAAGCCACGUUGUGGGGGCUGAAGUGACAGGCUGAGCUGUGUUUUCUUUGCUCAGCAGGCACGGGGACCCCUGGAAGCUUUUAGAGCAGGGGAGGAGCGCUGGUCACUGCCAUGGUUAAGGAAGAGGAGUCUGACAGUGGUUGGAGGCAGCUGGUUGGAGGUGGUUGGCAGGCAGGCUGGAAAUUGCAUUCAUGAUGAAGAGUGACCUCAAGUCGAAUAAAAGGUUGAUGAUUCAAGGUCAGUGUUCCUGAUAGGUCAUGGACAGGGAGGGAGAAGGACUUAUUCUUCCUUGUUAGGAAGUAGCUCUGGUGUCACCACUGAGUUCCAGAAAACGUACCUUUGCUUCAGACCAGAAUACAAAAGACCAGAUCUCUUCAAUGAACCUGGCCCUGUAGAUGCUCGGGCAUGUGGCAGAGCGAGCCUGAUCUGGGAGUGGAUGGGCCACUCUGGACCACACAGAGCUUGGCAAGAGCAUGUGCUUAAUGAGUCUUUACUAGGUGAGCAGUUCUGAUUAAAAACAAAGUGUGUUUGACAGAAGACAGUGAAGAAUCCCACAGGGGCCUUCAUCUGCCUUGUCCAGAACC